CCUACGGGUGGCAGCAGUGAGGAAUAUUGGUCAAUGGACGAGAGUCUGAACCAGCCAAGUAGCGUGAAGGAUGACUGCCCUAUGGGUUGUAAACUUCUUUUAUAUGGGAAUAAAACGUUCCACGUGUGGGAUUUUGUAAGUACCAGAUGAAUAAGGAUCGGCUAACUCCGUGCCAGCAGCCGCGGUAAUACGGAGGAUCCGAGCGUUAUCCGGAUUUAUUGGGUUUAAAGGGAGCGUAGGUGGAUUGUUAAGUCAGUUGUGAAAGUUUGGGGCUCAACCGUAAAAUUGCAGUUGAAACUGGCAGUCUUGAGUACACGAGAGGUACGCGGAAUUCGUGGUGUAGCGGUGAAAUGCUUAGAUAUCACGAAGAACUCCGAUUGCGAAGGCAGUUCACUGGACUGCAACUGACACUGAGGCUCGAAAGUGUGGGUAUCAAACAGGAGUAGAUACCCUGGUAGUC
rnacentral:rRNA from 1 species